rnacentral:rRNA from 1 species
AGGGAAUCUUGCGCAAUGGGCGAAAGCCUGACGCAGCGACGCCGCGUGGGGGAUGAAGGUCUUCGGAUCGUAAACCCCUGUCUUUGGGGACGAAGCAUGACGGUACCCAAGGAGGAAGCCCCGGCUAACUACGUGCCAGCAGCCGCGGUAAAACGUAGGGGGCGAGCGUUGUCCGGAAUUACUGGGCGUAAAGGGUGCGUAGGCGGCCGCUUAAGUCCUGUGUGAAAGGCCCCGGCUUAACCGGGGAGGGUCAUGGGAAACUGGGCGGCUUGAGUGCCGGAGAGGGUGGCGGAAUUCCCGGUGUAGCGGUGAAAUGCGUAGAGAUCGGGAGGAACACCAGUGGCGUAGGCGGCCACCUGGACGGCAACUGACGCUGAGGCACGACAGCUGGGGGAGCAAAC